AAAAAUGUAUAGUCAAAUUUUAAAUAAUGUAGGCUUAUAAUCCUUUGAUUGUAAAUUAUUUUCCCUACUACGUAAAGCUGGUACAAUAGCAGUACGGUUUUUUAUAUACCGAAAAGCAUUCAGUCAUCAUGGAGUCCAGGAUGAUUUACGAUGUGAUGGUAGAACAAUGCUGGAUUAUCACCCUAUAAUUCUUGAAACUACAUUAGUUUCCAAUGCCAGUGGAUCGGCAAGGCUGAGACUUGCAAACUCAUCAACAUCUGGAAAAUGAAAUUUGCAAAUUCCUACAAAGAUCCUAUGCUUCAGAUUCUUGAAUGUGGAGUGAACCCUUAUGAUGCACUGUCAUUGGCUGAGAAAUCGGCUCUUUAUGCAACCCAAAUUCCAUUAAAAUAGCAACCAUGGACGGAUAUCAACAUGAACUGGAGCUCUCAGAUGAUCCUUAUGAUACCAAGAGACUAAACACAGAGAACAUUCCUAGUGUACUGACUUUGAUGAAGGAGGUGGUGUCCUGGUGGCACGUUGCGAACAUGACGCUGUCACCGUUGGAUCGGCUGGUGAUAACCAAUUUAUCAACAUCAAAGCUCUUAAUGAAUGGGACUCAAGGUUGUCUGGUGAAGUCGAAUGGCGCCAGAAACUGGACACUCAGCGAGGUGCUGUUCAGGCCAACGAGCUGAAUAAUGCAUGCAAGCUAGCAAAAUGGACUGUGCAAGCUCUGCUCGCCAACUCUGAUUGGAUUAAAUUCGGAUAUGUUUCCCGUAUACACAUACGAGAUACAUCGCGUCGUGUAAUCCUUGGAACACAGCAGUUCCACCCGUCAGAUUUCGCAUCACAAAUCAACCUUAACAUCGACAAUGCUUGGGGCAUUCUCCGUUGGAUUAAUGAUUUGUGUAUGAAGGAAGAGGAUGGCAAAUAUUUGUUGGUGAACGAUCCUAACAAGCCCGUCAUCCGCCUUUACAAGGUGCCCGAUAACACGUUUGAGAGCGACGAUGAAGCAUUUUUCGGAGAAGAAGACGAGUAACGGCUGAUACAAACAAAAGAACAGCUCUUCCACCAAUUCCCAAAUCUACAACAAUACUACGUUUGUAAUUAUCGUUACAUGGAAUAAAGCACUUAUGAAGCUUCCAGUUUACUUAUACAGCGUUACUUUGAUUGAUUUCAUCAAAAACAUACCCUUAUUUGUCUUGAGCGAGAUUGAUGUCUUCAGGUGUGUUACUGCAGUGAACAACAAUUAUGAUGUUCGUUUCAGUCAUCGGGUAAGCAAGCCAACGAAUAUCUUGACCGAUCCCGUGAACUUCCUUUUCAGUAGAUUCAGCAAAUCUUUUCACAAUUGAAUUAGGGGUAGCACCUGAUAUGGGCUCGACUUUUAGCAUAACCAUAUUCGUCUCUACGAUAUCUCGAUCAACUUCCACAACGCUUUUUCAAACCUCUUGCGCAGUAACAGCCAAUUGUUUGGUGAAAAUAUGAUCUUGAGCUACCCUGGUAGGUCCCUUUGUAAGUGACAAAAUUCCG